AACACAUGAACUGAUAAUUAUAUAUUAUUCUGAAGCUUCUCAUAAUGGAGUUGCAAUAUUGCUCACUUUCUCCCUAUAAAUACCACCACAACUCCCUGUUGCACUCAUCCAUACCAACUUUCAAUUCAUUUCACCAACAACAGCUACUUUUUUCUCGAAAAAAAGAUCAUAAGAUUCUUUGCUUACUUCUUGGAAAGCCGAACAAAAUGUUGCACAACCUCUUUGACAAAAUCACAGGCCAGGAGCAGAAUGGGAAAAACGGUAGGAAGAUCAAAGGGACUGUGGUUUUGAUGAAGAAGAAUGUGUUGGAUUUCAAUGACUUCAAUGCUUCUGUUCUUGAUCGUGUGCAUGAACUGCUAGGCCAAGGGGUUUCUCUGCAGCUCAUCAGUGCUGAUCAUGGAGACUCUGGUGAGUUUUUUUUUUUCUCUCUCUUUAAUUUUCAUUAAAGAUGUAUAGUUUUUAUGGCUUCAUUGAUUGAAUAUGCAUGACAUGAAACCAAUUUGAGUUUUGCUCUUGUUUCAUUUCCUUGUAAUUCUUUUUCUUUGAAGCAAUUAUGACAAGAUUAAGAAGAUGAACCAACAACUCUAUCUCUUUCCUUGGUGGAUUAGUUGGGUUACAGAUCAUGUCAUUAAUCUGUUUUCUUAUUUAAUGCACACCGGCCUUUUAGGUCCAAUAAAUCAGAUUUUGAAUGCAAGUCUGAUAUAGGCAGGCAAUGGAAACAGCUUUUUGACAAUUCAAGGGGCACCUGGGUCAAUUAAUUUUUUAUUUUUAUUUUAUAAAUUUUUGGGUCCAGUCAUGAGGCAUUUAGAAUGCAUUGGUCUUAAGCUUACCCCUUCCAACUCUCUCUCAUUGUGAUUGAAGGUGCCCCAACAUUGUUUUUGCCAGUGAUUCUGGUAAAAAAAAAAUUGAUUAAAAAACCAGUUUAGUAUUAAAAAAAGUGACAUAAUUAAGCUUUUGAAAGAUAUGGAAAUGAUUUUUAAAUCAUGGCCCCAACAUUUGUUGUUUUAUUCAUAGUGGUCAUGUCAUGAAGUGAUUACACAGGAAAGCCAACUACCAGUCUAGCUACCAGUUAACAUGAAAAUGAAGCUCCAUGCAGUUGGCGGUUGGCUGUUGGCAUAGCUUUUAAGCCUUUUUCUGAUUAUGGUUUUUUACUCAGAUCCAAUUAUUUUUGGUUUUCCAUUGAAUAUUCUGAAGAAACAGCUGCAGGCUCUAUUCCUAAUAAAAUUACAAAAACUUGCAUAAAAUGGCUCCAACUAAGACCUGAUUUGAGGUGUUUAGAACAAAAUUUCGGAUGAACUUUAUUCUAUUGGAAAUAUUAAUUGAUUUGUUUAUGAGGUACUAGAUAUGGAAUUAUUUUCUGAACUUGGAGAAAUGUGUUUUUGUAGAAAACGGGUUUAAGGGGAAACUUGGAGAGCCAGCAUAUCUGGAAGACUGGAUCACCACAAUCACUCCAUUAACAGUUGGAGAUUCUGCAUACAAGGUUACCUUUGACUGGGAAGAGGAAAUAGGAGUUCCAGGAGCCAUCUUGAUAAAAAACAAUCAUCACAGUGAGUUCUUCCUUAAGACUAUCACCCUUGAAGAUGUUCCUCGUGAGGGCCGGGUCCACUUUGUUUGCAACUCAUGGGUGUACCCUGCAGAAAAAUACACGAAAGACCGUGUUUUCUUCGUUAACAAGGUAACGAAUGAUUCACACAAUCCAUUACAAUCUGCUGUAGUUUUUGUUGUACCUGAUGGAAGUUUUAAAUUCUAAGUGCAAGCCUAGUAUAUUAUGAGUAUAUUUGUGGCUUGUAUCUCAAGUUAAAGACUAACAUUCAAGCCUUGUAUAUGUUUGUGCAGACAUUUCUCCCAAGUGAAACACCGUUGCCACUGCGAAAAUACAGAGAAGAAGAACUUGUACACUUGAGAGGAGAUGGGAAGGGAGAGCUCCAGGAAUGGGACAGGGUCUAUGACUAUGCUUACUACAAUGAUCUAGGAAACCCUGAUAAGGGUUCCAAAUAUGCCCGACCAACUCUGGGAGGGUCUAGCGGGUACCCUUACCCUCGCAGGGGAAGAACCGGCAGACCAGCAACGAAGACAGGUUAGCCAUUUAAAUAUCUUUGUGUAAUUUUUUGUUCCUCAAAUCAUUUAUUAGCAGUCACAAGAGGGAUCAUAUUUUGUAUUGUUUAACAGUAAAAGUUGAUAUACUAAUUUGGAUUUUAAUUCACUGAUGUUGUAAUUAUCACUAUGAUUUUUCUGAUCUUAUUCUAACAGAUCCUAACAGCGAGAGUAGGAUUCCGCUUAUUAUGAGCUUAAACGUUUAUGUGCCAAGAGAUGAACGAUUUGGACACUUGAAGUUGUCAGACUUUCUGGCUUAUGCAUUGAAAUCCAUAGUUCAAUUUAUUAGACCAGAGCUAGAAGCCCUGUUUGAUAAGACUCCUAACGAGUUUGACAGCUUUGAAGAUGUGCUUAAACUCUAUAUAGGAGGCAUUCCAUUGCCUGAAGGUUUAUUGAAGGAUAUCGGAGACAACAUCCCUGCAGAGAUGCUCAAGGAAAUUUUCCGAACUGACGGUGCACAAUUGCUCAGAUUCCCCAUGCCGCAAGUGAUCGAAGGUAUAUGGUUCCACCAAUGAGAAAUUCUGAAUUUAGAGGCUUUAAGCAAUAGCCUAUGAUAUCAUGUACUAUUUCCUUUUAUCUAAUUCUGAUGUUUUCAUGAUUUGGAGCAGAGGAUAAGUCUGCAUGGAGGACUGAUGAAGAAUUUGCCAGAGAAAUGCUGGCUGGAGUGAACCCUGUCAACAUUAGUCUUCUCCAAGUAAUAAUCUUCACAACAUUUUGUGUGUGUGAUGUUUUCCAAUGAUAAUGGAUGAAAAACAAACCAUACUUUCGAGGGUCCAUUUUGUUCAUAUGUAAUCACAUUUGCUUCUAACUGAACUGCAGGAAUUUCCACCAGCAAGCAAACUAAACCCAAAAGUUUAUGGAGAUCAAACCAGUAGAAUAACAGAACAGGAUAUAGGGAACAAGUUGGAUGGACUAACAGUGCAUGAGGUAAUAUCUUGGAUUUGCUUCCUUUACAUUGUAUUAGCUUAUGUUUGAUUUUUUAUCAUUUCAUAAUGAUGAAAAUGAAUUUGGUUGGAUAGGCACUCAAGCAGAACAAGUUAUUCAUAUUGGAUCAUCAUGAUGCAUUGAUGCCGUACCUGAGGCGGAUAAACUCAACUUCCAACAAGAUCUAUGCUAGCAGAACAGUUCUUUUCUUGAAAAGUGAUGGAACUUUGAAGCCAUUGGUGAUUGAAUUAAGCUUGCCUCAUCCUGAUGGAGAUCAAUUUGGUCGCAUUAGUAAAGUAUAUACACCAGCUGAAGAGGGUGUAGAAGGCUCCAUAUGGCAACUGGCUAAAGCUUAUGUGGCUGUAAAUGACUCUGGAUAUCAUCAACUUAUCAGUCACUGGUACUAAUCUUUCAAAGAAAGAAAUCUUAGAAAAUGAAUUCAUCAUAUUACUUUGAAUUGGAUUUCUGAUAAUCCUUUUAUCUUUUGGCCACAGGUUGAACACCCACGCAGUGUGUGAGCCAGUUGUAAUAGCUACAAACAGGCAGCUAAGCGUGGUUCACCCAAUUUACAAACUUCUGCAUCCUCACUUCCGUGACACCAUGAACAUAAAUGCAUUUGCCAGGCAAAUCCUGAUCAAUGCUGGCGGCAUUCUGGAGACAACAGUUUUUCCUGCUAGGUAUGCCAUGGAGAUGUCAUCAGUGGUUUAUAAGGAUUGGGUUUUCACUGAGCAAGCUCUCCCUGCAGAUCUCAUCAAGAGGUAAACAAAAAUCUACACUUUGUGAGUUAAUUGCCUCUGCACAAGUAACUCAAAUGAGCACAAGAUAAGUAAUAAAUAUCCAUUCCUUAUUCUAAUUACAUUGCUUUGCCUUUGAUCAAUACAGAGGAGUUGCAGUCAAGGAUGCAAAUUCUCCACAUGGUCUUCGCCUACUGAUCGAGGACUAUCCAUAUGCCGUUGAUGGGAUUGAAAUCUGGUUUGCAAUUAAAACUUGGGUUGAAGACUAUUGCUCUUUCUACUACAAGACUGAUGACAUAAUUCAAGAAGACACCGAACUCCAAUCCUGGUGGAAGGAGCUUGUAGAGGAAGGCCAUGGUGACAAAAAAGAUGAGCCCUGGUGGCCUAAAAUGCAGACUCGCGAAGACCUAGUCGAAACAUGCACUAUCAUCAUAUGGACUGCUUCUGCUCUCCAUGCAGCCGUCAACUUUGGACAGUUCCCUUAUGCAGGAUACCUCCCCAACCGCCCAACUUUAAGCCGAAAAUUCAUGCCUGAGAAGGGAACUCCUGAGUACAAAGAGCUCGAAUCCAGCCCCGAUACAGUUUUCUUGAAAACAAUUACUGCUCAGCUGCAGACAGUGCUUGGCAUUGCCCUCAUUGAAAUUCUGUCAAGGCAUUCUACUGAUGAAGUGUAUUUGGGGCAGAGAGACACUCCUGAGUGGACAGCAGACACAGAACCAUUGAAAGCCUUCGAUAAAUUUGGAAGGAAACUGGCUGAAAUUGAGGACAGAAUUACAAGUAUGAACAAUGAUGAGAAACUGAAGAACCGAGUUGGACCGGUGAAGAUGCCAUACACUUUGCUGUUUCCUACUAGCGGAGGAGGACUUACUGGCAGGGGAAUUCCCAACAGUGUCUCAAUCUAAGCCUCUCAAGCUAGAAUAUAGACUAAAGUUAAUUAAUAUAAUGCAAGUUGCAAUUACUAUAUAUAAUUAAUUAGUAUAAUGCAUUCUUUAUGUGUAAUAAGCUAGAAACAUGACCUACAAUAUUGCAGUUGCAGUAAUAUUGGAUUGUUAAGUUGAGCAUCUUCAUCUUCAUCUUCAUCUGCUGGACCUAGAAUAUUACAGCUACAAUAUCUUUAUAUAAAUAGCUCUGUAUUCAUUGGUUCGUUAGCUUCAUUGCAAGCCUUCGGUCAGAAAUUUCUGCAGCAACAGCCUAGGCAUAUGCAAUAUCAACAUUUCAUCCAAGAUAUUGGAAACUACGAAAAUCAGAAUUUUAAGCCUUACUUUUAAUAAGCAUAUUUGAG
rnacentral:lncRNA from 1 species